UCAACAAAACUCAAUCAUGAUCACUCACAGCACAUGCUCAUGAAUAUAACAAUAUAACCACAAGAACUCAAUGUCAAUCAUCCUAAACAACUACAAUUACAAUCCUAAUUAAAGGAAAGCUAUGUCGAUCUGUAUACUCCGUAGUUUUUGCACAUGAAUGCACAUAAUGAAAUUGACAUACGAAUGCAUGUGGUCUGAAGCAUGGAUAGGGCUAAAGGUGUGGUACUAGACUAAAGAUGAGUCUAGCCAUUCAGAGUUUACAAAGAGUGGUAAAACAACGCGGAUUAAACUCUGAAUGUAUGAUCCAUUACAUGAUUACCAACCCCCUAAGUAAGAUAUAAUAAGUCCAUAUUAAGUUCAAAUAAGCAAGGUUAAGCUCAAAUCAUCCAAAUUUCCAAGUGAGGGAUUAUACAAGUGAUCUAGUCAUGAAUUUUCCGGAAGUUCCAAGUUAUCCUUAAACAAUGCUAAAUGGUCCCAAGGCAAUGAAAUCAAGCAAGGUGCAAUUCCCUAAGAAAAGCUCAUAGUUCUCAUACAACAUUUUGACUCAACAAAACAGAUACGAUUUGACUCAAUAAAACAAACUGACAGACUCAAGAAAACAUCAAAAUGAAACAUAAGAAAAAGCAAAUUGCAUCAGUAGACGAGUGACAUCAUCCCCCAGACUUGCUUCACACCGUCUCAGUGUGAGAACAAUUCCAAAAGAAAACGUCACAACCAAAAACAAAAAAUAAAUGAAGAUGCAAAAAAAGAAGAAUGAAAUUAAGAAAACUGAGCUGGGACAUCUGGUGGUUUGCCUCCCACAAAACGCUUAUUUUUGGUCUUUAGCUUGACCGCUCAACUCCCAAUUAUUAAUCAUAAAAAUCAAAAGGUUGAGCCAAUGCACCUUUAGUCCUUCUCCUGUUACCCCACACAACAAUAUGCAUAAAGUAACACACAACUAUCCAUGAUAAGGAGGCAAAAUAACCAUCAACCAAAUUUACUACAAAUGUAGCAUAUAUCUUGAAAUCUACUUUGAUGGUUUGAUGCUCAUGAGGAUCAAAUGCAUUUGGUGGAAAUAUAAAAUCAAUUUCACGUCUUAAUGAGGUUUUAACAAAAUAGUCAACUUCAUCCCCAUUAAUUUCAUAUAUUACAAUAUCUCCAUCCAUAUAAUGAACAUAAUGAUCCUCAGUCUAAUGCAAGAUGUUAUCAAUAUCUAGCACAACCCCUAACUCAGAUUCUUCAAGAAGAUAUCUAGAUAUUUCAGGCAUUGAAAACUUAAACUCGAGUUUAUGGAAAUUCAAAGCACAAUGAUAUUCAAUAUCAAAACAUAUCUCAUGGUAAUCUCUAGCAAGUUUUUCUGCUCUAAAAGUAUCUAGCUGUUGAGACUCACCUAUCAAAUAAUAACAUUCACUGAUAAUCUUGGGAGUAUGCAAACUAGAAGCAGCAUCUUCAAUGCAAGGCAUAGAAAAAUACUCAAAAUCAUGAAUUUCAAGGGUUGAAACGCAUGUACCUUCUAUGUUGCUCGGUGGAACCCAAUAUAUUACCUUUUUAAGAUCAUGGGCUUCUUUGAUCUCAUAGCCUGUGAGUUGCCUUCCUUCAUAUGCUGCCCGCAACGAUAUGAGGUUCAACCGGAUCAUAGUCGCUAAGUCACUCCUUGUCAAUGUUGGAUUCUCUACGUAAAGUUCACCCAACUUCACUUUUUGUUCUGGUGUAAGAACACUCUCAUCAAAUGGUGGCUCUAUAUAUGGCUCAUCCUCUUCUUCUUGUGGCCAAUCAUUGAAUUCCAUGGCCAACAACUCCUAAAUCACCAAAAAGAAAUAAAAAUUGUUAGUUAAAAAAAACUGCAAAGAAAAUGAUCUAGACUAAAAACUAAUCCUAAAUCUUUAGGUAACGCAAUUGCUCCCCGGCAGCGGCGCUAACUUGAUUACUCGAGUAUUUAACCCGAUAACUUAACCGAAGUAAAGUAUAUGCGGGAUCGAUCACAGGGAGCAAGGGUACACUAAAGACUUGCGAGACUCGUUCUUAGCUAAAGCGGAAAGACUUGUUGUUUGGUUUUCAGUUUGUAAAUAAAAAUGCAAAAAAUAAACUGAGAUUUAACUUAUAAAUUAAAUACAUUGGGCUGCAGAGUAUUUUCAGAGAAUCAAUGAAUAACAAAUAAAAGCUAUAAGGAUUUCUAUCAUGAAGAAUCGUUCUUGAACAUGAACAAAAUUUUAGACUAAUUCUCUCUCAAGACAUUAAUCACUAAAUUCAACUAUUCAAUUACUAACUCUCAUUUGUAAUUUCCUAGCCAAAUUCGCAUUAUCAAACAUGUUCAUUUGUUUAACAAAGCAUUCUAACAUCAACUCUCGUAGGUUAGAAGUACAAUGCUCAAUUUACAUUCAUUCAGGCAUUUUAUCGAAUAUCUCUAAAACACAUAAAAGCCUAAGUUCUAAAACAGGGUGAUCAAUCCAAUUCUAGUAUUGAGAACAUGUAAACUGAAGAACCUAAAGAUUAAGAAUUCCCUAAGACAUCUAAUCUAUCAAAUCAUUGAAUUCUCCUACUUGGAACCCUAAAACCCAAUUAAGAGACUACUCAAAUAUAGCAAAAGAGAAAACAAAAAUCAUAGAUGAAGAAAGCAUGAUGAAAUUUCAGAAACAAUAAGAAAGAGUUUAGAAAUCUUCUCCAAGUGUCAAGAGGAUGGAUUCUUCUCCCAAAAUUGUUUAGAAAGCAAAGAACAAUCUUUAGAACUCAAAAAUUUGAAGGAUGGCUGCUAAAAGGUCGAGCCUAUUUGGGUCGGUUCUGAAGUGUUUCGGAUUGAAUAUGGGCAAAACGAUGCGUCAGAAGUAAGGGUACGAUCGUUCCAAAUGUUAGACCGAUCGGUCUAAUGCUCCCAGGUUUUACUUCUGCAUCAGCUUUACCAACUCGUCAGAAUGACCUGUCUUCACGAAAUCAUGUGUAACUAUUGAAUGCACCGUUAGAUAUCCUUGAAAUUACUUUCAAAUGAUAGUUAACAUCUGUCUUCAUUUUGUGUCAAAAUAUGAGAAAGAUCUAACGGUGGAAAGUUAUUCAUCGGCUCCUAAACAUUUGACACUUCUACAUGAAUCUGCAUCUCCAAAUGUGUGUUUCCAUCCCAAAACAGCUCGUUUUAUUCCAAAGCAACCUAAAACAUGUAAAGACUCUAUAAUGCACUAAAAGAAUCCUAAAACACAUUUUGACUCAAUAAAAGUUUUAAAAUGAAAGAGAAAAGAAAGACUAAAACCGACAAAAACACAAUAUAUCAACUCCCCCCCUGCUUAGGUUCUUGCUUGUCCUCAAGCAAAACAAAAAUCUUAACCAGAAGAAGAGGUUUGAAAACAUGAAAACUCACAUAUCCUCUGGGAUCAUACUCUUAAUCAAUUGCCUGCAAACCGCUAUCACAAAGUUUAUAUCAAACCGUACAAUAAUGUACUUCAUCAUGACAUCAUGAGAUCCCUAAAUCACAAAGAACUAAGAAUCAAAUAACUUAACAUGUUAACAUUCAUUAGCAGUUUCGUGCACUCUCACAAAGGGGAUAUCGAACACGUUAUGGUCUAGGUNNNNNNNNNNNNNNNNNNNNNNNNNNNNNNNNNNNNNNNNNNNNNNNNNNNNNNNNNNNNNNNNNNNNNNNNNNNNNNNNNNNNNNNNNNNNNNNNNNNNGUUUAACGUUCAGCAGUAAUACGAACGGAUGGAAACAUUAUGCAAAAUCACAGUGAGACAAAGACCAAUUGGAAGAUACAUAACUUCCUUCUAACUCGGAUCACCUUAACCACAUCAAAUCCCAGACAAAUCAUAAGUAUUAUAGAUGCUUUUCAAAUACAACCAAAGACAUAUCGACUUUUCCGGUUCCAUUCUUUCUCAUUUCCCGUUCUUUUCUCUUUUUUUUUUAUUUUAUUUUUUAUUUAUUUUAUUUUUUUUUUACGGGGGAGUGGAACCGGUUCUCGUCUCACAAACUGCAUCAACAAAACUCAAUCAUGAUCGCUCACAGCACAUGCUCAUGAAUAUAACAAUAUAACCACAAGAACUCAAUGUCAAUCAUCCUAAACAACUACAAUUACAAUCCUAAUUAAAGGAAAGCUAUGUCGACCUGUAUACUCCGUAGUUUUUGCACAUGAAUGCACAUAAUGACAAUGACAUACGAAUGCAUGUUGUCUGAAG
rnacentral:lncRNA from 1 species